rnacentral:lncRNA from 1 species
UCAGCUUGAGGUGGUCUUGGAGCUUUCAAAUUAAACCCUUGAGAAUUGUUGGGUCUAUGCUACAGGAAGUUGUUGUUCGGUCCAUUUCCUUGGUUACUCCUAGAAAAAUUAGGAUGAUUACGCCAUGAAGGAUUGUAGAAGUUGGACUGGGGUCCUUGUCCACUCCUAUUUUGAUAUUGGUUCCCCAUAUAAUACACUAACUCGGGAUUUGAUGGACAAUUCUCAAAAGAUGACCUUCCCCACAAUACACAUAAGAGACUACUUCAAACGGACAUGGUGGCUGAGCUGCAAAAU